rnacentral:rRNA from 1 species
CCGGCGAGCGGCGAGACGGGUGCANUAAUGCCUGGNGAUCUGCCCAGUCGAGGGGGAUAACAGUUGGAAACGACUGCAUAAUACCGCNUACGCCCUACGGGGGAAAGGAGGGGACCUUCNGGCCUUUCGCGAUUGGAUGAACCCAGGUGGGAUUAGCUANUUGGUGGGGUAAUGGCUCACCAAGGCGACGAUCCCUAGCUGGUCUGAGAGGAUGAUCANCCACACUGGAACUGAGACACGGUCCAGACUCCUACGGGAGGCAUCAGUGGGGAAUAUUGCACAAUGGGGGAAACCCUGAUGCAGCCAUGCCGCGUGUGUGAAGAAGGCCUUCGGGUUGUAAAGNACUUUCAGCGAGGAGGAAAGGUUGGCGCCUAAUACGUGUCAACUGUGACGUUACUCGCAGAANAAGCACCGGCUAACUCCGUGCCAGCAGCCGCGGUAAUACGGAGGGUGCAAGCGUUAAUCGGAAUUACUGGGCGUAAAGCGCACGCAGGCGGUUGGAUAAGUUAGAUGUGAAAGCCCCGGGCUCAACCUGGGAAUUGCAUUUAAAACUGUCCAGCUAGAGUCUUGUAGAGGGGGGGUAGAAUUCCAGGUGUAGCGGUGAAAUGCGUAAAGAUCUGGGAGGAAUACCGGGUGGCGAAGGCGGNCCCCCCUGGACAAANACUGGANNCUCAGGUGCGAAAACGUGGGGGANCAAACNNGGAUUANAUACCCUGGUAGUCCNCNCCCNUAAACGGAUGUCGAUUUGG